rnacentral:rRNA from 1 species
UACGUAGGUGGCAAGCGUUAUCCGGAAUUAUUGGGCGUAAAGCGCGCGUAGGCGGUCUCUUAAGUCUGAUGUGAAAGCCCCCGGCUCAACCGGGGAGGGUCAUUGGAAACUGGGAGACUUGAGUGCAGAAGAGGAGAGUGGAAUUCCAUGUGUAGCGGUGAAAUGCGCAGAGAUAUGGAGGAACACCAGUGGCGAAGGCGGCUCUCUGGUCUGUAACUGACGCUGAGGUGCGAAAGCGUGGGGAUCAAAC